UUGGUUAAGUUAGAAAGGGCGCACGGUGGAUGCCUUGGCACUAGGAGCCGAAGAAGGACGGGACUAACACCGAUAUGCUUUGGGGAGCUGUACGUAAGCGUUGAUCCAGAGAUUUCCGAAUGGGGGAACCCACUAUCUUUAGUCGGAUAGUAUCCUUACGUGAAUACAUAGCGUGAGGAAGGCAGACCCAGGGAACUGAAACAUCUAAGUACCUGGAGGAAGAGAAAGAAAAAUCGAUUUCCUGAGUAGCGGCGAGCGAAACGGAAAGAGCCCAAACCAAGAAGCUUGCUUCUUGGGGUUGUAGGACACUCUAUACGGAGUUACAAAAGAAAGUUAUAAAUGAAGCGGUCUGGAAAGGCCCGCCAAAGACGGUAACAGCCCGGUAGUUGAAAUGGCUUUCCCUCCAGAGUGGAUCCUGAGUACGGCGGAACACGUGAAAUUCCGUCGGAAUCCGGGAGGACCAUCUCCCAAGGCUAAAUACUCCCUAGUGACCGAUAGUGAACCAGUACCGUGAGGGAAAGGUGAAAAGCACCCCGGAAGGGGAGUGAAACAGUUCCUGAAACCGUGUGCCUACAAGUAGUUAGAGCCCGUUAAUGGGUGAUAGCGUGCCUUUUGUAGAAUGAACCGGCGAGUUACGAUUUGUUGCAAGGUUAAGCGGAAAAAGCGGAGCCGUAGCGAAAGCGAGUCUGAAUAGGGCGCAUAAGUAACAGGUCGUAGACCCGAAACCAGGUGAUCUACCCAUGUCCAGGAUGAAGGUAAGGUAAUACUUACUGGAGGUCCGAACCCACGCACGUUGAAA
rnacentral:rRNA from 1 species